ACGAGGCCGGUCUGCCUUACACAUGUUACGUAAGCCCCUGUUGCGGCGCACAUUCAGACAGAGGUAGAAUUCUGUCCUGGAGUUCACGACAUGUCGUCUCGACAGACAUAAAUGUAACAACCUUGAUGAUGCCUUCAGUUGUCUUCUCAAACAGGCAUCCAUUGUGGGGAAUAGGACCAAGGUCAGCAGGUGGUGUGUGGUAACCAAACAGAAUGUCAGUCAUAAAAGCAGGUUACAGAUUGUUAAUGUUAUAUUAACAGGCUAUACUCACUGACUAUUCAAAUGAUGCAGGGGACUUGAUGUACAAUCUACUCACUCACUAUUCAUAAGAUGCAGGGGACUUGAUGUACAAUCUAUCCACUCACUAUUCAUUGAUGCAGGGGACUUGAUGUACAAUCUACUCACUCACUAUUCAUAUGAUGCAGGGGACUUGAUGUACAAUCUAUCCACUCACUAUUCAUUGAUGCAGGGGACAUGAUGUACAAUCUACUCACUCACUAUUCAUAUGAUGCAGGGGACUUGAUGUACAAUCUACUCACUCACUAUUCAUAUGAUGCAGGGUACUUGAUGUACAAUCUACUCACUCACUAUUCAUAUGAUGCAGGGUACUUGAUGUACAAUCUAUCCAUUCACUAUUCAUUGAUGCAGGGGACUUGAUGUACAAUCUACUCACUCACUAUUCAUAUGAUGCAGGGUACUUGAUGUACAAUCUACUCACUCACUAUUCAUUGAUGCAGGGGACUUGAUGUACAAUCUACUCACUCACUAUUCAUAUGAUGCAGGGUACUUGAUGUACAAUCUAUCCACUCACUAUUCAUUGAUGCAGGGGACUUGAUGUACAAUCUAUCCACUCACUAUUCAUUGAUGCAGGGGACUUGAUGUACAAUCUACUCACUCACUAUUCAUAUGAUGCAGGGGACUUGAUGUACAAUCUACUCACUCACUAUUCAUAUGAUGCAGGGGACUUGAUGUACAAUCUACUCACUCACUAUUCAUAUGAUGCAGGGUACUUGAUGUACAAUCUAUCCACUCACUAUUCAUUGAUGCAGGGGACUUGAUGUACAAUCUACUCACUCACUAUUCAUAUGAUGCAGGGUACUUGAUGUACAAUCUAUCCACUCACUAUUCAUUGAUGCAGGGGACUUGAUGUACAAUCUACUCACUCACUAUUCAUUGAUGCAGGGUACUUGAUGUACAAUCUAUCCACUCACUAUUCAUUGAUGCAGGGGACUUGAUGUACAAUCUACUCACUCACUAUUCAUAUGAUGCAGGGGACUUGAUGUACAAUCUACUCACUCACUAUUCAUAUGAUGCAGGGUACUUGAUGUACAAUCUACUCACUGACUAUUCAUAUGAUGCAGGGGACUUGAUGUACAAUCUACUCACUGACUAUUCAUAUGAGAAAGUUACCAUUGUCCAGAUUCCAGAUCCUGCCUGUGGCCUCCAUGCCUGAUGUUCCAGCAAUGAGGAUGUUGCCCCCCUCUGCCAGACAGUCCACCUCGUGACUCACAUGCUGCAGGUCAUACACCAACUCCACUGGAAAAAUGAUGCAUUACGUGACUUACUGAACCUCUUUGUCUUUGUUCAUGCAUUAAGGUUAUGUGUGUAUUUCAAUAUUUUCAGAACUUGGUCCGCGUACACAUUGACAUUCUUAUUAGCUACCAAAUACAUGAAAUGUACAUGAAUUGAACAAAUACAGCCAUGGGUUUAGAUCCGAGUUCUACUGGGACUACUUUCCUUCUCUGCUUGUGGGUUCCCCAUCUGCCACCUACAUCACACUGCCACCUACAUCACACUGCCACCUACAUCACCCUGCCACCUACAUCACACUGCCACCUACAUCACACUGCCACCUACUGAUACAACUGCUGAAAGCUGCAUCCAACCCUGACUUACUUAUAUACACUUUGCUGAAUAUAUGUUUUGUUGCAGUUUGUCUUACAUGUCUGGACAUCCAGGACUAGGACUUUCUUCUUCCUGGGAACAGCGAGGUGUCGUCCACUACUGGUCAGGCACAUCAGUCUCCGAGGUGUCCUCAUCGACUCCGCCUCCAGCACCACGUCGGUACUGCCUGUCUCCAUGUCUCGCUUCAGGAGACAUCCGUGCUUUGUACACAUGAACAGUUGCUUGUCAUCCCUGGUAACACAGUGAGACGGGAUUCAGAGAGCAGGCAAUAUACAUAGAGCUGGAACUUGUGAAGAAAGAAAUUGAUCUUGUUUUGUUUGUGCAUAUCUCUGACUAUUCCCACAUACUGUUCUGAUUUCAGUGACCUUCUCUGGAACCUCUGAUGUUAGGACACACAUGUUUUUAACUGACUUUACGGAUCGAUCGACUGUACACUUUCUUGAAAUGGAAUGUUUUCUUCACAAUUUGUUCCCUUUUUUCUAUCCUGCCGAUAAGCUGAGAGCAUAUUGCACCCACUAAACAAGGACCCACGGAAGUGGACAUUUUAAACAUGGGAGUCAAACUAAGGUUACUGGUUGUUACUAAACAUUUAUAGGAUUCCUAGAUGCACAAAACUGUUCUCGUUUGAUUUGUCAGGUUUGCAUUCCUUAAAGCAACAGCGGUGUAGCAGUCUCUCCUCCCACAGUCUAUUUGUAUACCCGCCAACCUGUAGUGGAGCAGAAAACAAAACAAAAUCAAAUUGAA
rnacentral:lncRNA from 1 species